rnacentral:lncRNA from 1 species
AAUUAUCCACACCCCAUCUCUCGCCUUCUUCAAGUCCUAUCUUCAAAGGUAUGAUCAACUUUGCUAUCUUUGUAUAUGAUCAUAUACAAUGGUAUAUUGAUUGUAUAUUGAGAGGAUGUGGUGGGUGGCUGAAACCCAGAAGGAAGGAAGGAAAGAUGGGUUUCUCGGAGAAAAUAGAGUGAGAACGAAAGCUCGAGUUGCAGUGUGGGAAAGAGAAAAAGAAAGUGAGGGGUUGAAAAGAAAUCCUAGGGUUGGAGGUAGGAUUUUGUUAUGCUUAGCAUUCAUUAGUGAGGGGUUGAAAAGAAAUCCUAAGGUUGGAGGUAGGAUUUUGUUAUGCUUAGCAUUCAUUCUCAAAUUCUAUAAAAUCUCUUAUUGAAUGAAAUCCUUUAAAAUCUAUGAAUUUUUGAAUACCUAUAGAUUUGCAUAGACUCUAUAAAAAUCUUUUAAAAUCCUAGUUGACUACACAAGGAUUAUAGAGUCUUUCAAAAUCUUUUAAUCGACUACCCCUCUAUUUGAAUAGACUUUUUAAAAUCUUGUAAAAUCCUAAUUGACUACACUAAGAUUCUAAAGUCUUUUAAAAUCUUUUAAAAUCCUUAUUUGACUACACCCCACUUAAUCCCUCUCUUAUGCAUAAGAGUUAAAAAUUAAAAGUCCUAUUUCACUCCAUAUGCAUAGGAGAUGAUAUAAUCUGCACAACCAUAUUUUUGGUAGAAAAUUAAAAAAAAAAAAAAAAAAGUCCGUUGCAAUAUUUGUUAAUUAAAAAACGCUUAGACAACUUUCUUUAUAAUUAAGUGCACCUUUUAUCAUCAGGAAUACUUUCAUUAUUAUUAAAGAUUUUUUUUAAUUAAAACCCUCAUGAAGUGUGACUUCUUAUUUCUUUUCAUCCUUAUAAUAUAAAAAAUAUCCUUAAUAAUAAGAAAAAA